rnacentral:lncRNA from 1 species
CCAACUCCUCGUAGUACAAUCUUCUCCGAUCUGACUCCACGUAAAUAGCACGCUGCCACUCGCGUGUCACGGAAUCAUUCCACGAAGGCCAUAAAGCGGCGUCAUUGGCACGUUAGUCCACGAACUCGAAGUCAGUCCUAUAAGGCCAUGGAGCGGCUUUAUUUUUUUUUUCCUUUUUUUGGCAUAAUUUUAGGAAUUUUGAUAAAUUUAUGGUGAUUGUUGUCUCUUCAAAAAAAAAAAAGAACUAAUCACUUACCUCUCCCGAAAGAAGUCAGUAACAGUGGCUCGAACUUGAAGAAGAUCAGUUGUUCAAGCUAUAAAAGGGAAAUGGGAAUAGCCAGCAAGCUGUGGAGUGGGGAUGAAGAUGACGACAAAGACGAACAACAGCAAUUUGUUGUCGGCAAGUGUGAUGGUGUAUUUUUGUGUGAUUCGGUUUGGAUGUAGA